CAGGGGGUAUAUCAAUAGGUAGAUUAUCUGCUUUGGGAGCGGAAGGUUAUGGGUUCGAGUCCCAUUUCUCUGA
rnacentral:tRNA from 1 species